UACGUAGGGUGCAAGCGUUGUCCGGAAUUAUUGGGCGUAAAGAGCUCGUAGGCGGUCUGUCGCGUCGGUCGUGAAAACUCGGGGCUCAACCCCGAGCCUGCGAUCGAUACGGGCAGACUAGAGUGCUGUAGGGGAGACUGGAAUUCCUGGUGUAGCGGUGAAAUGCGCAGAUAUCAGGAAGAACACCCGUGGCGAAGGCGGCUCUCUGGGACGGUACUGACGCUGAGACGCGAAAGCGUGGGGAGCGAACAGG
rnacentral:rRNA from 1 species